rnacentral:rRNA from 1 species
GUGAGUAACACGUAUCCAACCUGCCGAUGACUCGGGGAGAGCCUUUCGAAAGAAAGAUUAAUACCCGAUGGCAUAGUUCUUCCGCAUGGUGGAACUAUUAAAGAAUUUCGGUCAUCGAUGGGGAUGCGUUCCAUUAGGUUGUUGGCGGGGUAACGGCCCACCAAGCCUUCGAUGGAUAGGGGUUCUGAGAGGAAGGUCCCCCACAUUGGAACUGAGACACGGUCCAAACUCCUACGGGAGGCAGCAGUGAGGAAUAUUGGUCAAUGGACGAGAGUCUGAACCAGCCAAGUAGCGUGAAGGAUGACUGCCCUAUGGGUUGUAAACUUCUUUUAUACGGGAAUAAAGUGAGGCACGUGUGCCUUUUUGUAUGUACCGUAUGAAUAAGGAUCGGCUAACUCCGUGCCAGCAGCCGCGGUAAUACGGAGGAUCCGAGCGUUAUCCGGAUUUAUUGGGUUUAAAGGGAGCGUAGGCGGACGCUUAAGUCAGUUGUGAAAGUUUGCGGCUCAACCGUAAAAUUGCAGUUGAUACUGGGUGUCUUGAGUACAGUAGAGGCAGGCGGAAUUCGUGGUGUAGCGGUGAAAUGCUUAGAUAUCACGAAGAACUCCGAUUGCGAAGGCAGCCUGCUGGACUGUAACUGACGCUGAUGCUCGAAAGUGUGGGUAUCAAACAGGAUUAGAUACCCUGGUAGUCCACACAGUAAACGAUGAAUACUCGCUGUU